rnacentral:rRNA from 1 species
CCUACGGUGCGCAGCAGUGGGGAAUAUUGGACAAUGGGCGAAAGCCUGAUCCAGCCAUGCCGCGUGUGUGAAGAAGGCCUUCGGGUUGUAAAGCACUUUCAGUGGGGAAGAAAGCCUUGGGGCUAAUACCCUCGAGGAAGGACAUCACCCACAGAAGAAGCACCGGCUAACUCCGUGCCAAGCAGCCGCGGUAAUACGGAGGGUGCGAGCGUUAAUCGGAAUUACUGGGCGUAAAGCGCGCGUAGGCGGUCUGAUAAGCCGGUUGUGAAAGCCCCGGGCUCAACCUGGGAACGGCAUCCGGAACUGUCAGGCUAGAGUGCAGGAGAGGAAGGUAGAAUUCCCGGUGUAGCGGUGAAAUGCGUAGAGAUCGGGAGGAAUACCAGUGGCGAAGGCGGCCUUCUGGACUGACACUGACGCUGAGGUGCGAAAGCGUGGGUAGCAAACAGGAUUAGAUACCCUAGUAGUC